GAACGUGAGCACGUCGGAGUCCCGCGAGCAAGAGCGUCGCUCCGCCGCCUUCACGGCGGACGCCGCGGUCUUGCGCCCCCGUGCGUCUGGAGUAAAGAACGGCCCAGGUUUACGCUUCCCUCCCACGUGACUCGAGCGAGGCGGGCAAAGUCUCGCCGCAGGGUGAAUUCUUCCAGGAGGGGCAGCGAACGCUCGGCGACCGCCGCCUGAGUGCCUUCCCCGACGUGACGGCACCGGUGACGCUCGUCGACUCUGUCGGCCUCCACCCUAAACGAUGGUCGAAAUUAAAUCUACGGUAUGACUGCCCCGCAUGGUUGUGUGCAACCGAGUAAAUUUACUGCCAGUGAGUCUCCACUCAGAGUUUGGCUGGUAAAAUUGUUACGAUAACUAAUCUACAGUGUACAUUUGCAGAGGGAGGAUUUCGCCGCACUUCACUCAGCCAUAGGGGAAUGAGAAGAUUUGGGGGCAGGAGGCAGAAAGGAAACUGCGACUUGGGGCUUAGGAUGGGGAGUGUGGGAAAGGGCUGGGGGCCCUGGACAGCCUUGGCCUCCCCUAAAUGAACGGAAAUCACACGACAGGCGGAGUCGGGCCGGGUUCUUGUCCAGGGCGGGAAGCUUACCCUUGCUAAACUUCAACGCCCUCGUCUGCAGAAAGGGAAUCGUGCCAGGUGCCUGCCUCCUGUACCUUCCAGAAGUGCGUGCAGAUUACGUGAACGAGUUCACAGCGAGGUGUCUUUCUUUCGAGAGGCUUCUACACCUGCCGGUCCCUGGUCUAUUUCAGGGUGGAGCCGGGCUGCAGAGUGGCGGACGCACGUGGGACGGGCCCCUUGACAACUGACGCUUCUGCAGAAGUGAAGCCGGGGGUGCGGGUGUGAGAAGAGGCCCACCUAGGAAAGCGAGCAAGAGGGGAGGGCUGGCUACCGCCGCCUCCCACCAGCGCCUCGAAAUACGAAACACACGGCCUCAAUUUUAUGCAGGAACUGGAUGCCGACUGAUUGGUUAAAUCGAACAUUAGAGGCUUUGGAACGUGUAAAGUGAUUUCAGUCAACCACUGCUGUACCAUGGGAGACUGGAGCACAGAAGAGCUGAAUGACGUACCCACUGCAGGUUCCUUGGUCAAGGCUGGAACGACAGCCCGUACAUCUCGAUUCUUCGUCUUGGGCUUUUUCCGCUAUAAUCACGCUGCCCCCCUCCUUAGGUCAUAGACUCCUCAACGUUCUUUUAGACACAAGCCGUGGUAACAAUGGCACUAACAACAAAAGACCUGCGUCAGACUGGUUGAAACCGAGAAUCCGGUGGCUCACGCAACAACCUAGUCCAGAGGUAUCUCUGCCUUCAGGGACAGCUGGCUUUAGGGGUCUUAACAAUGUCAUCAGAACUGGCUCAUCUCCAGCCCUGUUUGGCUUUGUUUUCAGGCUCUACAGAUGAGCUAAAUGGCUGCCAAGUAAAGUCCUGACGUCACCUGAAGAUCUUGCCCUUCCCCCCCCCUCCCCCACAACAGGCCUUCCAAAGUUGCAGAUUGCAUGCCAUUGGGUCUGAUGGGAUCGGGCACCAUUUUGGAAAUAGUCACCGUGGCCAGAAGCUCCCCCGUUUGUGGUGCGUUCUGACAAUAAUCCCAGGAAACCAGUACAAAUUCGAGCCUGGCAACUGGUUUCGUAAACAACUAUUUGUUGACCUAAAUGGCGAUUAAAACCCAAGCUACCAAAUGAGCAAAGCGUUCCACAGCUUUCUGGAAUGACCCGUCACCAGCUUACGCCUUGUGUUAGCUACGAUAUGGAAUGAGCGCUUGGACGCUUCCCGGUGUCCCCAGAAA